rnacentral:rRNA from 1 species
AAGGUUUCCAGAGGAAGGCUCGUCCGCUCUGGGUUAGUCGGGUCCUAAGCUGAGGCCGACAGGCGUAGGCGAUGGAUAACAGGUUGAUAUUCCUGUACCACCUAUAAUCGUUUUAAUCGAUGGGGGGACGCAGUAGGAUAGGCGAAGCGUGCGAUUGGAUUGCACGUCUAAGCAGUAAGGCUGAGUAUUAGGCAAAUCCGGUACUCGUUAAGGCUGAGCUGUGAUGGGGAGAAGACAUUGUGUCUUCGAGUCGUUGAUUUCACACUGCCGAGAAAAGCCUCUAGAUAGAAAAUAGGUGCCCGUACCGCAAACCGACACAGGUAGUCAAGAUGAGAAUUCUAAGGUGAGCGAGCGAACUCUCGUUAAGGAACUCGGCAAAAUGACCCCGUAACUUCGGGAGAAGGGGUGCUCUUUAGGGUUAACGCCCAGAAGAGCCGCAGUGAAUAGGCCCAAGCGACUGUUUAUCAAAACACAGGUCUCUGCUAACCGUAAGGUGAUGUAUAGGGGCUGACGCCUGCCCGGUGCU